rnacentral:rRNA from 1 species
UACGGAGGUCCCGAGCGUUGUUCGGAAUUACUGGGCGUAAAGCGCACGUAGGCGGAUUUGUUAGUCAGGGGUGAAAUCCCGGGGCUCAACCUCGGAACUGCCUUUGAUACUGCAAAUCUCGAGUCCGAUAGAGGUGGGUGGAAUUCCUAGUGUAGAGGUGAAAUUCGUAGAUAUUAGGAAGAACACCGGUGGCGAAGGCGGCCCACUGGAUCGGUACUGACGCUGAGGUGCGAAAGCGUGGGGAGCAAACAGG